AGGCUGGUGCAAAAGUAAUUGCAGUUUUUGCCAUUGAAAGUAAUGGCAAAAAAUCACAAUUACUUUUGCACCAACCUAA
rnacentral:miRNA from 1 species